CAGUCGCCACGGGAAUACGAAGGGGGCUAGCGUUGCUCGGAAUGACUGGGCGUAAAGGGCGCGUAGGCGGUUUGUACAGUUGGAUGUGAAAUUCCUGGGCUUAACCUGGGGGCUGCAUUCAAUACGUGCAGGCUUGAGUGUGGAAGAGGGUUGUGGAAUUCCCAGUGUAGAGGUGAAAUUCGUAGAUAUUGGGAAGAACACCGGUGGCGAAGGCGGCAACCUGGUCCAUUACUGACGCUGAGGCGCGAAAGCGUGGGGAGCAAACAGGAUUAGAUACCCCUGUAGUCCCUGUCUCUUAUAA
rnacentral:rRNA from 1 species